CAGUUACCAUAGACUUCCAGUCAUUGUGCUAAUGCUAGUUAGCAACUUCCUUCAAAAGGCACGCAGAGACAUAAAAAUGGUUUCCACAACCAUGAGUUCAUCUGACUCUGGGGAAGUAGAAUCCUGAAAUAUCCCUUUUUAAGAAGUUUGUGGUGGUGAGGCAUUUGAAAGGGCCUAAUGAAUUGGCCAUUAAUGGGUCUUUGAUGGGUUGGGUUAAUGAGGUCACUUGUUUCAUCUCACCACCUUACAGGCAACAGGGUUCCGUGGUAAUGGCCUGGUCACGGCACCUUGACAUGUGGCAGCAACUGAGGGAUCAGGGGUCACAAAUGCAGUCCUACUGGUGAGGAAAGGGUUCCAGCAGUGACUGACAGGAGAGGAGGGCUCAUUGGUUCCCAUAUAGAGACUGACUAACUAGCCGUUGGGGACUUCCACUUCCAGCCACAGGACACCCGUUSGACCCAGAGAUGGACCGGCCACAGCCUGAACAACAGUGCUCUUUUCUGGGUUACAAACCUGUGGUCAAUACUGCUGCAUCUCCUCUCCUGCUCCAGCAGAUGUGGAUCCCCAUGGUGACAGGAGAAGAACACCAGAGACACUGCAGAUGGAUGAGUUACACAUCACAAAGAGGAGGAGACAGAAUGACAGACUGCAGGCGCCAUCUGGGAGCGAGAUGUGCAUUACAGGAGCUAUCCAUAUGGUCGGGGCAUCAUGACUUUGCUCAUCUCAUCUCCCGUCAACAUCUCUUCUGCUCAAGUCCUCUCUCAAAUGAUCCACAUACACAUUCUAAACAGAAAGACAAAAACAUGCUCGUGUUUAUAGAUUUUUGCAGAGAUUAUACAAAUUUACACAUAACAGUCGGUAUUAGAUUAAAAUGUUAAACUCAUGUCUUCAAUACUCUUAAAAUGUACAUUUCCUCAUGAAUCGGGUGCUAUAGAUUAAGACUCUUCAUACAAUCUGAUUAUAGUACAUUUAUUAUAAUACAGAAAAUGAUUUGCCACCUCCAUAUCAUCCCCACCCCCAGACGUUGUUCAGUGUCGGGAGCUGGGGGCUUUUUUAAACCCAUCUGCUGUCUCGCCCCCUUCAAUCUGCCCCCCCCCCCCCCCCCCAGAACCAAUGGCAUCGUACUCCUCAUCCUGUCCCCAUCCUACCCACUCAAUCACCCAGUGCAUAAUAUAUUCCCCCUGUAACCAAAUACUACAGCUCACAUUGWAUUAAGCCACGUUGCAUAUGCUUAUAACACACACAGUGAUGUUUACAGACCUGUCAUCUGGAAUGUACUGUAGGCUAGAUGUAAGAUAAGUGUAUCUAUGUAUAUUUAGAAAUAAACAGUGUCAAUAUUAAAUCUCUGUGUGUUUGCUAAUUAUGACAAAUUCUUAUUCUACUCAAAAUCAACACUUAUUCG
ensembl:lncRNA